AUUGAACGCUGGCGGCAGGCCUAACACAUGCAAGUCGAACGAGUGGCGGAAGGGAGAGUAAUGUCGGGGAAAGUGCCUGAUGGAGGGGGAUAACUACUGGAAACGGUAGCUACUACCGCAUACCAUCGGAUGUGCCCAGAUGGGAUUAGCUAGUAGGUGGGGUAUCGGCUCACCUAGGCGCCGAUCCCUACCUGGUCUGAGAGGAUGAACAUCAACACUGGAACUGAGACACGGUCCAGACUCCUACGGGAGGCAGCAGUAGGGAAUAUUGCACAAUGGGCGCAAGCCUGAUGCAGCCAUGCCGCGUGUAUGAAGAAGGCCUUCGGAUUGUAAAGUACUUUCAGCGAGGAGGCGUUACUCUCAGAAGAAGCACCGGCUAACUCCGUGCCAGCAGCCGCGGUAAUAC
rnacentral:rRNA from 1 species